UUAAUAACGUAUAUUUCGAAUAUUUAGCUGAGAAAAUAAUGACGAACGUUUACAGUAUUCUAGAAACUAACUUAGUUGAAGUAAAUAACACAAUUAGAAGCCAUCAAAUAAAAGAGAUGAGUGACAAUGUAAUUCAACAGAUAUACAGUCGAAUUAUGGACCGGGUUUCAUUUCGCAAAAAACAAAUCGAGAAGCAGACACAAUAUAUUUUGAAAGUUUUUUCUUCUAAUCGGUGGAUGUAAAAUAAAUUGCAGCUUUUUAUAUGUGGACAUAUCUCAUAUGAAUUUUUUUCAUAUAAUUUUUUUAUUUUGUACGUACUACUUCUUUUACUGCUUUAAAUAUUGUUUAUUUAGAUGUACUAUCUGAUGCUUUUAUAUUUAUAUUUAUAAAAUUAUAUGAAUGCAUGCAUCAAAAUUUUCAUUCUUUUGCAAUCUUGUUUGAA